rnacentral:rRNA from 1 species
UACGAAGGGGGCUAGCGUUGUCCGGAUUUAUUGGGCGUAAAGAGCGUGUAGGCGGCUGGGUAGGUCCGUUGUGAAAACUCGAGGCUCAACCUCGAGACGCCGAUGGAAACCCUCCAGCUAGAGUCCGGAAGAGGAGAGUGGAAUUCCUGGUGUAGCGGUGAAAUGCGCAGAUAUCAGGAAGAACACCCGUGGCUAAGGCGGCUCUCUGGGACGGUACUGACGCUGAGACGCGAAAGCGUGGGGAGCGAACAGG